rnacentral:rRNA from 1 species
GACGAACGCUGGCGGCGUGCUUAACACAUGCAAGUCGAACGGAAAGGCCCUGCUUUUGUGGGGUGCUCGAGUGGCGAACGGGUGAGUAACACGCGAGUAACCUGCCCUUGACUUUGGGAUAACUUCAGGAAACUGGGGCUAAUACCGGAUAGGAGCUCCUGCUGCAUGGGGGGGGUUGGAAAGUUUCGGCGGUUGGGGAUGGACUCGCGGCUUAUCAGCUUGUUGGGGGGGUAGUGGCUUACCAAGGCUUUGACGGGUAGCCGGCCUGAGAGGGUGACCGGCCACAUUGGGACUGAGAUACGGCCCAGACUCCUACGGGAGGCAGCAGUGGGGAAUAUUGCACAAUGGGCGGAAGCCUGAUGCAGCAACGCCGCGUGCGGGAUGACGGCCUUCGGGUUGUAAACCGCUUUCGCCUGUGACGAAGCGUGAGUGACGGUAAUGGGUAAAGAAGCACCGGCUAACUACGUG